GACAGAGGGUGCCCACGUUGCUCGGAAUUACUGGGCGUAAAGCGCGUGUAGGCGGUUUCGCAAGUCAGGGGUGAAAGCCCGGGGCUCAACCCCGGAAGUGCACAUGAUACUACGGAGCUGGAGUACUGAAGAGGAGAGCGGAAUUCCCGGUGUAGAGGUGAAAUUCGUAGAUAUUGGGAAGAACACCGGUGGCGAAGGCGGCGACCUGGUCCUUGACUGACGCUGAGGCGCGAAAGCGUGGGGAGCAAACAGG
rnacentral:rRNA from 1 species